CACGUAGGGUGCGAGCGUUGUCCGGAAUUAUUGGGCGUAAAGAGCUCGUAGGCGGUGUGUCGCGUCGGCCGUGAAAACCUGCAGCUUAACUGUGGGCUUGCGGUCGAUACGGGCAUCACUGGAGUUCGGCAGGGGGAGACUGGAAUUCCUGGUGUAGCGGUGAAAUGCGCAGAUAUCAGGAGGGAACACCGGUGGCGAAAGGCGGGGGUCUCUGGGG
rnacentral:rRNA from 1 species